CCCAGAUCAAGUCAUCCCAGGACACAAUGUGCAUGCAGCAGCAAGACGGAGAUGAGCUACAGAGGAGAGUGCUGGGAGCUGGGAAAGACGUCCCGGGGGAAUCUGAUUUAGUUUGGUGGUCAAGGCCGGCUUCCCAGCAGAAGCAGCAGCUGAUCUGAGGGACGGAAGCUCCCAUGGAGAAGGCAGCCAGGCCCAGGGAGGGCCUGCUCCAGGGCACACAGGACACAACCACUGUCAACUACCGAGGUCCCCGCGCGCCAGGACACAGCCGGCUCGGCGUGGCCUCCAAGUGGGAGCUCGCUGCUUAUCUGUCAACUGAUUGGACGCUGUGAGGCUCAUUUUGCGAGACAACUCCCCUCCCCGCGGAAGGAGGAGCCCCUUGGAGUCGGCUGGGUAACGGGAAAAGUGCUUACUCCGGGAGGAAGGCGGGGCUAGCCGGAACCAGCUCUCGCUAAGAACCCGCAGACUCCCCCGGCGUGUCUGAACCCCGUUCUCCUCCGGGGAGCGCGAGGGGGUUGGAGGUACUUGG
rnacentral:lncRNA from 1 species